rnacentral:tRNA from 1 species
UCCUCAAUUGAUUGAUCACCGUCCGUCUCAAAAUCCUGAGGCAAGACUGUAAAUCUUGAGGUUGCUGGUUCGAUCCCGGCUCGGGGAA